rnacentral:tRNA from 1 species
GACGAGGUGGCCGAUUGGUUAAGGCGAUGGACUGCUAAUCCAUUGUGAUCUGCACGCGUAAUACCCUUUUCA